CUACGAAGGGGGCAAGCGUUGUUCGGAAUAACUGGGCGUAAAGGACGCGUAGGCGGGUUGGCAAGUCAGAUGUGAAAUCCUACAGCUUAACUGUAGAACUGCAUUUGAAACUGCUAACCUAGAGUAUGGGAGGGGGAGAUGGAAUUAGUGGUGUAGGGGUAAAAUCCGUAGAUAUCACUAGGAAUACCGAAAGCGAAGGCGAUCUCCUGGAACAUAACUGACGCUAAGGCGUGAAAGCGUGGGGAGCAAACAGGAUUAGAAACCCUAGUAGUCC
rnacentral:rRNA from 1 species